rnacentral:rRNA from 1 species
UGGGGAAUUUUGCACAAUGGGGGAAACCCUGAUGCAGCGACGCCGCGUGAUUUAGAAGGCCUUCGGGUUGUAAAAAUCUUUUCUAUGGGAAGAAAAUGACAGUACCAUAGGAAUAAGGACCGGCUAAUUACGUGCCAGCAGCCGCGGUAAUACGUAAGGUCCGAGCGUUGUCCGGAAUCAUUGGGCGUAAAGGGUACGUAGGCGGGUAAGCAAGUUAGAAGUGAAAUCCUAUAGCUCAACUAUAGUAAGCUUUUAAAACUGCUCAUCUUGAUGUAUGGAAGGGAAAGUGGAAUUCCUAGUGUAGCUGUGAAAUGCGCAGAUAUUAGGAGGAAUACCGGUGGCGAAGGCGACUUUCUGGCCAUAACCUGACGCUGAGGUACGAAAGCGUGGGUAGCAAACAGG